UAUCCUCUUAUUUUUUUUAACUUCAUUAUAAGGGCUUACUACUCCGACGGCCGCGUUUUCUAAAUUGAAUACGCUGCCAAAGUCAUCGAUAACAGCGGAACUUCGAUCGGGAUAAAAAUGCAAAGAUGGGAUGGUCAUGAUAAUGGAGUUGAGAAGCUGAUAGCAUCAAAGAUGAUGCUACCUGGUUCGAAUCGAAGAAUCCACUCCAUUCAUCGUCAUUCCAGCAUGGUAUUCAUUGUUCCUCCCCUUUAAUUUUCAUCUUUAACUUUGUAAUUCAUAGCAUUUUUACCCACAUUUUCUGAAAA